rnacentral:rRNA from 1 species
AGUCUGACAUGUGCGCAAGCCGUCGCGCCAACGAAGCGCAGAGGGCGAAGUGAAAGCGUUGGUCGACGUCCCCGUCGACCGUGGUCGGGAUCCGGCGGGCAGGCUUAAGAGCGACCCGCCGGCGCACCGACCGUCCGCCUCGAUGCCGUACCGUUCGGCUUGGCGGAACGUGAGCGGACACGUCGGGACCCGAAAGGUGGUGAACUAUGCCUGGGCAGGACGAAGCCAGAGGAAACUCUGGUGGAGGUCCGCAGCGAUUCUGACGUGCAAAUCGAUCGUCAGACCUGGGUAUAGGGGCGAAAGACUAAUCGAACCGCCUAGUAGCUGGUUCCUUCCG